rnacentral:rRNA from 1 species
CCGGCGCACGGGUGAGUAACACGUAUGCAACCUGCCUGCCACAGCCGGAUAAUCGGGAGAAAUUCCGUCUAAUACGGCAUAAUGCAUCGACGGGACAUCCUGUUGGUGCCAAAGGUUAAUUCCGGUGGCGGAUGGGCAUGCGUCGCAUUAGUUAGUUGGCGGUGUAACGGACCACCAAGACGACGAUGCGUAGGGGUUCUGAGAGGAAGGUCCCCCACACUGGAACUGAGACACGGUCCAAACUCCUACGGAAGGCAGCAG